CGCGUAGGCGGGGGACCAAGUCCGGGGUGAAAUCUUUCGGCUCAACCGGAAAACUGCCUUGGAUACUGGUCUUCUUGAGGGAGGUAGGGGCAGGUGGAACUUCCGGUGGAGCGGUGAAAUGCGUUGAUAUCGGAAGGAACGCCGGUGGCGAAAGCGACCUGCUGGAUCUCUUCUGACGCUGAGGCGCGAAAGCUAGGGGAGCGGAAC
rnacentral:rRNA from 1 species